AUGGCGGCGGUGCGGGCGGCGCUGCUCGCCCCGCUGCUGGCGCUCGGCCGGGCCGGCUCGGGGCCCGCCACCCCCGCGCGGGUCGAGGUGGCCGUGUCGGGGCCCGGGGCGGCGGGGCCGGACGGGGAUGGAGCCGGCGGCGGGGCCGGCAGCGCGGGCGCGGUGCCCGGCGGCUCGUACACGCUGCGCGGGGCCGUGCUGGGAGCGGGGGGCGGCCGGGCCGGGCCGGGCCGGGGCGGCCCGCGGGGGGAGCGGGAGGAGAUGGAGAUCCGAGGCCGCCUGGUGCUGGUGGGUGACGUGGAGCCGGAGCUGAGCGCUGCUGACAGCUGGAUCGGGGUGGUGCCUGUGGGCACCGAGGAGCCGGCCGAGGGUCCCCGGGGUGCCAAGGAGGAGUCCUUCACCACCGCUGUUGUCACCAAGAUGAAGCGAGCCCUGGUGCUGGGGGCCUCUGCCCUGCUGAUCCUGGCACUGAACCAGAACGCCAUCCGUGAGCUGGACGUGUCCCAGCUGCUGGCCAAGCCCGUCAUCGUCAUCCAAUCCUCGGACAAUGUCACCAGGCUGCUGGGAGCGCUGCUGCGCGGGCUCCGGGCUACGGCCAAGAUCACGUACCAGGCAGUGCUGCUGGAGAACCUGGGAGUGACCCUCACACUCUGGUCCACCUGUGGCCUGUCCCGAGGGGGCCUCUACGGGGAGUGGCAGGGGGUCAUCUGCCCCGGGGAGAGCAGCUCGCAGGUCCAGAAGUACCUGCAGCAGCUGUGGAACACCAUCCUGCUGAUCGCCCUGCUGCUCUGCACCGGUGUCAUGGUGCAGGCCCAGCGGCAGUCGCGGCAGGAGCUGUCGGAGCGGGAUGCCGAGCUGGACCUGAAGCAGCACAUCCGGCGGCGGCUGCUGGCGCUGAAAACGCGGCGGUACCACCCUGGGAAGCCGCCCCGGAGCCGGGCCUGUGAGAUCGACAGCUGUGCCGUGUGCCUGGACCAGUUCCACAAGAGCCAGUGGCUGCGGGUGCUGCCCUGCUCCCACGAGUUCCACCGGGACUGUGUGGAUCCCUGGCUCCUGCUGCAGCAGACCUGCCCUCUCUGCAAGCGCAACAUCCUGGGGAACUGCUGCACGGACAGCUAGCUGGCCCGAGGACACACUCCAGGGACAGAUCCACGGCUGCUGCAGGGACAGGGAGGGGGCAGGGGGUGCCCAGUGAGAGGCACUUGCUGCCACAGCAGGGUUGGUGUGGCUGUGCCCAUCACAGUGCCCAGACUUCGGAGAGGGAAGGACUUUGGGCUCUCCUGCUGGGUCACCUCGAUCCGGAUCUUGUUGGCCUGGAGCUGACUCUUCAUGUCCUCUGUAAAGUUCCCACUGCCUGCAGACAAAAUCCAACAGAGCC